AGAGUAAUAAUUUAAAAAAAAAUAUUUAUUUUGCAUAUAAAAUUUACAUAAUUGUUUACUUUG
rnacentral:tRNA from 1 species